ensembl:snoRNA U3 Small nucleolar RNA U3
AAGACUAUACUUCAAGGUAUGACUUGGGAAGGUGUUUGGUGUUGCCAACCACAAUUAUGGUGAGUUGUAAUAUUCCCUUCUGAACAUGAAUGUGACACAGAACAAUGCUUUUUUUCCCAUAUAGUCUCUGUCAAUGACAAAUGUUCAUUGCUCCCUGGCGAGCUUUAAUGAAGGCAAUUUCAGAGUGGG